UUCAGGCCCGAGAAGUUCGGGAAAAAUCAAAAUAUAUAAAUCUAUUAAGGGAAUCAUCCUUUACAUGAAUCUUUGUGGUAAAAUGCGAUAUUUGACGAUAUUGCAACACAUUUAGAUACCAUAAAUUUUAUAGAAAUUAGCCAGCUUUUCAAAUUUAAGGAAUCAAUCGUUUUCGGGCCCGAGAAUUGUCGGGUGUUUUGAGAAACGAGCCCCUGGACUAGUAAGAUUUUCUCCGUUCAAAGUUCUUUUUCUUUGAGUAUUUCGCCUAAUACUGUUAAAGAGAAAUGUAUACCUUUGAGAUUUAGGAUUUGUUUGGUGAACAUUUACUUAAAAAGGUAAAAGAGAUUGCGAGAAGGUAAAUUUCAAGGCCAGAUCGGAGAAAUUCGCCAUGCGAGAAAAAAAAAAGCACAUUGUUUCGGGUGUGCUAUUCCUGGACAGCCAUUUUAAGCUUUUUUAUUGGAGGAUUCGGAGGUCAAGCGAUGCUGGAAAUGAUAAUUACCACUGUGGUAUAGUACAAGAGCGGACGCAAUACUUACAAUUUGAGUUCAGUGAACCACAACUAUGGCACGAAGUUUUGGUUGAAGCAACGAUGCGUGUUGCAUGCGAAAAUGCAGGUAGGUUAUAGUAUACUAUCAGUCGCCCUUUUUUCCUUGUAUUAGUUGUUUGCUAUCGUAUACCAAUUCCCUUCCCUCUGUGUUUCGUGAAAUUCAAAUACACAAAAAAUAUGGCGGCCUCGAUAUUUACUCCCUAUUCAGACUGCCCACACACAUGGACUUGAAAUUAUUUCACAUUUUGCGAACUUUGUACAAUUGUGACUUAUAUAUAUUAAACUCUCAUCUAUUAUACAAUAAUACUCUUUAGAACUAUUACAGCAGUUUGCUGAUGUAUUAAUUUAAAUUUACAACUUUCCGUUCCCUAUUUUUUGUGUCACGAAGAAAAAUUCAAGCAAAGGAACAUAGUUGUUCAAUCCCGUCUAUCUACAAUUUACUCUUCUGUUAUUCUUGCCAGAAAUCGGGCUCUCAGUUUUGACUUAAUGUCAUUUGAAGUAUAUGAUUGCUCUCCAUCAUCGUUGUCAUCAUCACAGUCAUCGUUGUCAUCAUCCACUUCCUCCUCCUCAUGUAUAUCAUCUGCAGCCUCGUUCAGCAACCCUUUAUUUAAAGUUGACCCUAGUUUCUCUAUUUUAUCUAACAGAUGAGAAACACAAAUCCUGCAGCUACCAUCAUGGCAUUGAUCGUGGAAGGAAUGACCACAGGGAGUUUGCAUGCGCUCUCGGCUGUUUUCCAGAUGUCAGCAAACCUGUCUAUUAUAAACUCUGCGGCUUUACCACAAAGGACUGUGUAGUUUCUGCGGCCUGGCCGGUGCUGUAUGAUUGGGACGAAUGACUGCUGGAAAGUGGUUUCAAAUCUGGUUGCGUUUAGCACCUUGGCAACAUUGCUUACUUGAGUAGCAGAAAACCAAGGCUCAAUCUCAAUAUGUCCCACACACUCAUCUGCAUUGUCCAUGUUGAAGUCUUGGUAAGCUGGGGGACAGAGUGUAAGGCUACAAAACCUCUGGGCCUGGAACUUGGGUGUGAACCCUCUGCAAACAUCAAGGAUAUUUUAUAAUAUUUAAAGUGUUGGAUCAUUUGAAAAUAGCUGUAUUUGGCUGUGACAUAAUCCCUAAAAAAAAAUUUUUUUUUUCUUCUGCAACAAUGAUGUGUAAUUUAUCCCCUAACCAGUCUUGCCUUGAUAUCUUUAUUUUUUUUGCUCUAGAAAUUUUAUGACACUGUUUAGUAAGAAACUAUUUAAAUAAAUUAGAAUAAUUAGAAAAUAUGUAUUUGUAUUAAUCAGUGUUAUUUCGCUUCAUUGAUAUAUAUAUAUAUUUUUUUGCUAUCUCUCUCAAUAAAUGUGUUACCUUUC